ensembl:lncRNA
GCCCUGCGGUACAAACAAACAAAGCAAAGCUAACCCAACCCCGUAAGCAAGGCAAAGCUAAAGGCAAUUUGGCUGAGAUCAAUUGAUUGCAAAGCUAAAGCCAAUUUUGGCAAAAUAAAUUGACUGCACCUGCCAAAAUCAGCGCAACUCUCAGAAUGGCCACAAAGGGGCGCGAGUCUCAGACUGGCCGGGAAGGAGCGCAAAUGGGCUCCGAUGGCCUCGGGCGUUGGUUACGGGGUUGGGCAAAGCUAAAGCCAACUUAUUUGCAAUGCAUUAACUGCAAAGCUAAAGCCAAUUUGGUUGAGAUAAAUUAUUUGUAAAGCUAAAGCCAAUUGGGUUGAUGCAAAAUGACUGCACACGCUGAAAUCAGUGUGACUCUCAGCAUGGCCAUGAGUCUCAAACAGCCUGGAUGGAGUGCAAAUGGUCUCUGUCCAGCUACAGGAUGUCAGUUACGGGAUUAGGGUCAGCCAUGCUAGCAAACUCAAAGCGAAGGUGACCCAACCCCAUGAGUGGGGCAAACCCUUUGAUGUGCUAUCCCUUGAAAUUCUCUGAAAGACUGCAGCCGGCUACUUGGACGGGUACAUUGCUUGCUAGAUGAAGAACUAGCUGAACCGCCUGGCCUAAUGAGUGCUGCUCCAUCGUGUUAAAAACAGCUGGUAUGCCAUCCUGAGUGCUCUUCAGGCCUGUUCUGUCCAAUAUCUUCAUUGAAGACCUGCCUGACAGCAUGGAGUGCACCCUUGGUAUGUUUGCUGAGGGCAUUGCAUCAGAUAAGCACUAUGUUUGGAGUUCAGAGCUCAUUAGAGUUGGGGUGAAGGUAUUAGGGUUAGGUUUAUUAGGGUUAUGCUCAAAGGGACUGUUAGGGAAGGCCAAGGCAAAGGCAACAACACCCAAGGAAACACCAAAACCGAGGGCAAAGGCAUAGACAACAACCAAGGGAAGGCAACGUCAAAGGCAAAGGGAAAGCAAAGGUAUGGAGAACACCAAAGAGAAGACCUCCUCAGAGGGCAGGCCCAAAGAGAGGGCCUCAGAGAACAAAACAGAGACCAAAGAGAACACCAUGGCAAGGCCAAAAUGGAGGGCAAGGUCCAUGAGAACGCUGCAGGGAAGGCCGAUGCAGGAGGCCAAUAGCAAUGGCCAAAGAGAAUGCAGCACAGAUGGCCAAAACCAAAGACCAAAGAGAAUGCAGUAGGGAAUGCCAAAACAAGAAGGCCAAAGGCAAAGGCCAAACAGAACGCAACAAGGAAUGCCAAAACCAAAGGCCAAAGAGAUCAUCGCAGAGAAUGCCAGAACAGGAGGCUGAAAGGAACACGGCCAAGAAGGCCAAGGGCAAAGGUCAAAGAGAACAUGGAAGGGAAGGCCAAAGAGAAUGUGGCAAAGAAGGCCAAGCGCAAUGACCAGGAGAACGUGGCAUGGAUGGCGAAAACCUAAAGGCCAAAUAGAACACUGCAUGGAACACCAGAAGUGAUGGCCAAAGAGAACGCUGCAGGGAACGCCAAAACCUGAGGCCAAGAAGAAUGCCGCAAAGAAG